rnacentral:lncRNA from 11 species
CCCGAAUGGGGCCCAGUUGCUUUUCAUCUCUCAGGACUAGAUGAUUAUCUAUCUAGUCACUCCCUUCCUAACGUGGUUAAACAGGCAUCUUCCUGGCUCUUCUACAGUUCCAGCAUACUGACUUGAGUAAUUUGUGUGCGGUCUUUGGAGACUCCUG